AGGAUUUUGUGCCAAACCAUCAGAGAAGGAGUUUCCAUCUCUCGCUCCAGCCUCCCAGUGGCUGCAACUGCACAGGGUUCUGACAGUGAAGCUCUUAGUCUAGUCCACAAAAGCAGAUUCCCAUCCUGAAAUGCCCUACUUCCCUGCUCUAGGCAGACAUCACGAAUCAAUCACAGCCUGACUUCCUCUUGCAUCUUUUUCAGUCAAGCACUCCAGGCAGGUGCUAUCAGUGGUUGGGAACUGGCACACAAGAUUAAACAUAUUCUAUGGGGGAAUGCCUAGGACAGAAGGCUGCAUGAAAGGUAUCACAAUAGGAAGUAUGGCAUGAAAUAGUUCUUCAAAAGAGAAACAAAACAGGCAAGUACAAAUGAUAAAUGUAGGAAAGUGAUGUCUCACAGUCAUGUGUGUGAGUGUGUGUGAGGGAGGGAGGGAAAGAGAGAGAGAGAAAGAGAGACAGAGAGAGAAAGAGAGACAGAGAGGGAAAUUGCAAUUGUUUUUCUUUUUCUGCUUUGUUUUGUCUCUACACUGAGUGUCUACUUACUUGAGGCAUGUUCACAUUGAGCACCUAUUAUGUGCCAGGCCCUGUGUUAGGGGUACAAUGACAAUCAGGACUAACAUGUAAUUGCCUAAUGGAAAAGAUAACUACAACUCAGUGUGGUAAGGCAAAGGCAGAAUCUGUGGGAAUCUUCACAGAUUGGGCCGCAGAGCACCUGAGUUUCUCCUUUAUGACAAUGAGAAUCACAAUUAGACAACUAGAAUCACAACUAGAAUGCUGCAGUUAUUUGUGAGAUUGUGUGCUAAGCCUCCCUCUCACUCUGUCCCCCUCUCUCUCACUUAGACUACAAACUCCCAGA
rnacentral:lncRNA from 1 species